UAUUCCUGUUGCUUUCUUUUAUUUUUUGAUUUUGAUUAAUUGACUAAUUAAAUUAUAGAAAUUUUAAUAUAUAUAUAUAUAUAUAUAUAUAUAUAUAUAUAUAUAUAUUACACUGAAAGAAAAAGAGAAUGUUUAUACCAUUUAUUAGCUGACGUAUAGAAAGCAAAUCUUAUUACAAUGUUUAUUUGUUUCUAUAUAAGCUGAAAUAUCUAAAUACACUUUACGUUAUUUACUUUCUGUCGAAUAUCGUAUGAGAUCAGUCUUUCGGCAACCACCAAGGUGGAAUGUUGGAAGAUCCCAUAUAAACAUACGUUUGUAAAUAGAUACAUAUGUACAUAACUAGAUACAUAAUAUACACACCCACGCACACAUACACAAAGUAUAUAGUAGUCUUUCCUUGGGUAUUGCUUGAGAUUUAUUAUAUUGUGUAGACAGUAACGAGCAACCUUUCUUCUGCAAUGAGCCAAACUUAAAUAUCUGAUAUUGUUAUUGAUAGAAUUCAUUAUGAACUAAAAAUGUUUAAAUUGAUUAAAUAGAAAUUAAUACUUGAUAGAAAAAGAAAAAAUUACACAUUAUUGAAGGGUAUUUGUUAUUUUCGGCAUCAAUUUACAAUGAAAUGUUUUCUAUAAUCCUAUUGAUUUUUUAUUAGCAAUACUUUUAAUGUGUACGCAUAAAUGUAUGUAUAUAUAUCUUUGUAAUGGAACGAAAUCUAUUAGUUGUUUAUUUUUAAUUAGAUAUAUGAUUCUACUUCUCGUUAAUAAACUUUACAUUAUUAUAUUGGAAGAUACAAUGGAAGAUAUCGAAUUAAACUCUAAUACAAUCUGUUAUUCGUUUGUCGGUAACGUUAAGACUUUUGAUAAAAGAUUUCAAUACCUCGGUUAAUAGUUAAAGUGCCUUUCAACUGGCCGUAGAUAACAAAGCUCUUCACAAAUGUAUCAACGUAAGAUGUAAUACCACUGAUUAAGAAAUUCACUAAUUAUAGUCGACUAUUGUCAUUUUUCGAUGCAAGAUGUAAGUCGUAUUUGCAUUGAUACGGGGAUAAAUACGUAUAUGAUAAUGUUUUUUUAUAAACCCUGAGUUACUCAUUUCUGAUACAGAUUCAGAUAUAUACGUAUAAAAUAAUAUAUAUAUAUAUAUAUAUAUAUAUAUAUAUAUAUAUAUAUUAAUGUAUAUACAGAGAGUGAGAGUGUGAGAGAGAGAGAAAGAAAAAGGGUAAAGGAAUCGAGAAUUUGAAUAGAACAAAGAACGAUAUCGAGAUUAAAUUGAAAAGAAACUUUGUUAGAUCUUGACAAAGAGGCACUGGAUUAGGCAAGAUCAGCUAUCCAAAGUACAAUUAUAUCAAAGACCCAUUCAAAUGAAAGACGAUUACAUAGGUUUCCGAUUAUGAUACCUUAUACUUCUUAUUAUUCAUAUAAAAGAAAAGAAGAAGAAAAAAAACAGUUAAGAAGAUUAAGAAAGAAAUCUCAUCUUUAUUUCCCAAUAUCUUCAAUUAUGAUUGAUUUCUAAAGACAAUAAGAAUAAUAAUAACAAUAAUAAGAACAACAAUAACAACAAUAAUAUGAAAAAGAAGAAGAAGAAUAAAGUAUCUUGGUAUAUUCAAUUUUGCUUUCUUGUUCUUAUGUGGUAUAUGUAUCUAGUACAAUGUAAAUUUUAAUGUGGGAUUUCAAUUAAACGUGUCAUUUAAUUCGUAUUAUGAUUAAUAUGCAUUAUUCAUACACAUAUCAAUGUAUGUGUAUUUAAAUGAAUAUAGAAUUUAUACCUCGUUGACAAAUUAAAUUUACAAUAUUGAAAUAAGGGUGUCACGAUCAGGUACACGCAUCACGUUCGAUCGUCGACGAUCUUUCUAUAUAUAAAAUAUAUCGAUACCAAACGAUAUUACAUUUGUUGAAAGGCAUAUACGUAUUACGUACAUACGCGUACACGUGCAUACAGAAAAAUUAAGAAAAAAAUAGCAAAAUAGAGCGAGGAAGAGAGAGAGAGAGAGAGAGAUGAAAGUUCAUUGUUUACGAGGAAUGACGUCUGUCCUAACAAACGGAGUUUUCGAUGAGGUCUCGUAUUUUUGUAUUCCUGUUGCUUUCUUUUAUUUUUUGAUUUUGAUUAAUUAACUAAUUAAAUUAUAAAAAUUUUAAUAUAUAUAUAUAUACAUAUAUAUAUAUAUAUAUAAUAUUAUUACACUGAAAGAAAAAGAGAAUGUUUAUACCAUUUACUAGCUGACGUAUACAAAGCAAAUCUUAUUACAAUGUUUAUAUGUUUCUCUAUAAGCUGAAAUAUCUAAAUCCACCUUAUGUUAUUUACUUUCUGUCGAAUAUCGUAUGAGAUCAGUCUUUCGGCAACCACCAAGGUGGAAUGUUGGAAGAUCCCAUAUAAACAUACGUUUGUAAAUAGAUACAUAUGUACAUAACUAGAUACAUAAUAUACACACCCACGCACACAUACACAAAGUAUAUAGUAGUCUUUCCUUGGGUAUUGCUUGAGGUUUAUUAUAUU